CAAUGACAAAUCUUGGAGGUUAUUCUGUUCUAAAGACAGUUAUCAAUUUGUACACAACAAAGUCAGCACUCAUGUCUCAGGUCCUCAGUCCUCCACAGUAGGAGUGUACCUGGAUCACAGAGAAGGUAUUCUGUCCUUCUACAGCGUCUCUGAAACCAUGACUCUCCUCCACAGAGUCCAGACCACAUUCACUGAACCUCUACAUGCUGGACUGAUGUUACCCUGGUAUUUCACAUUCUGGUCUUAUCAAGCCUCUGCUGAGUUUAUUAAACUGAAAUAAAGAGAAUUUUGAGUCCAUCAGACCAAAAUCAUGGACUGAGAUCCUUGAACUCUUGAAAUGUUCUGGUUUGUAAAUGUUUGUGGAUCAGUCUCACCAAAAACUCUGGGUUUAGUUCUUCAUUUCAGCUUUUUGAUUCUUUUCUAAAGAUGCUGAUUUGGUCGCAGCUUUAAGGACAGUGAUUGUGGAGAACUUUGAUUGUUUGUAUUUCUCAUUUUCUCAUUUUGAUAUCAACAACAUCAAGAUGAUUCUUUGUUUAAAUCACCUUCAGUUGGUGCAGAUGUUGAAGGUCUGAGACUUUAGAAAAAAGUGACGUCAAAAUGAGGAAAGAAAGAUGAAAAAGGACAACCUUAUUUCCUGUCCCAAAUCCAAGCGUCUAAAGUCUUUCCAGUCUGCUCCAAAAGCUCUUCAGAUGAUCUGUUUCUUUCUCUGUUUGCUGAAUAUUUGUGUUCAUGUGAUCGAUGGAUAUUUCUGUCUGCUUCUGUUGGAUCAGUGUGUUUGUAAAGACAUCAAUAAUGAGACUUUUGUAAGAUCAACAUGUUGUUAUGAGCUUUUUAAUCACUUUUAUAUUAAUCACAUUCAUUAGUCCGACUGUUUUUAUGUUUCUGAUUCAGCUCAGAUUGUGGUCAAGUCUCUGAUUGUGGGUGAAAACAAUAAAAAUCAUCAAACUGAGUCACUGAAAUCACCUCGUCUGUUUUUCUUUAUUGUGUCUGUUUCUGCUGGAUGUCAUGUUACAGGUCUGUCUGGGUCAUGGAUUCAUGUGGUCUGCAGGAUUUCCAUGAUGUGGUCACUUACAGGUGUUACAGGUCCCAGAUGUUGGUCCUGCAGCUGGAUCAGGUUUUCUGUAAGUAAGAGGAAAAUCAUGACAGAGAUAUAAGGUGUAUAUGUCAAGACUUAUAUUAUUUAAUGAUUAUCUGUAGCCCUGAGUAGUUUAUUUAAGAGUUUUGUAGCGCUGCAUUUUAUUUUGAAAAGUCCGCGGACUUCCGGUGUUACUUACCAGUGUUAAGGCUUUGGUGCGCGAAGCUUUGAAUUGAAUGAAUGAAUGGAUGUGAGGCCGUGUGUUUGUGAAAACAUACAGAAAUGGUGAAGUUAUUAAAAUGGUGUUUGUCUUUAAGACACAGUUGCAGCGUCAAAAAGGAGAAGAGGACAUAAAUUAUGGAGAGGGUUGUGAUGUGAAUGUGCUUGUGUUACUUAGUUUGUUAUUCGUACUUCUUUUCGGGGACAACAUGUAAAACAUAAACAUUUCACUUAUAUUUAUUUAUAUUUAAAAACAACUUUUCAACAAGUCUCGAGUCCAUGCAUUGUGAGCGGGGGAGGACUCCAUUGCGUUUCGCUGCCUGUUAAAUCAUCCGCCAAACCCGUGAAUCAGUCACGUGGUACAGCCGGGCAGCGAGGCUUCGGACGUCAUCAUUUUUGGCUCCACCCCUACAUGAAGCAAGACUUAAUGCGCUCUUCGCGGAAACACCCCAUUCAUUCCUCGACACUGAAGGACGCGCAUCACUACUCAUCACGGCAGCUGUGUCCGAGUUUGGCAGAAGCGAACAGUCCAUUGGUAAGAAAUAACCUGCUAACAAUGUGUAGCCUCUGAAUAUAUAACGUGUUGGUGCUAAUUUCAUUGUCCUGGGAGAGUAAUAAGAGAAUGUUGAAAUAGAGAGUGUAAUUAAACGGCCGUGGUUAGCAUUUGAUUAGCGCCGCUAGCUUCCGUUAGCAUUUUCGCUAGCUCCCGAUUAGCAUGAAAGGCUGACUUUAUAAGCAUUCUUACGCCUGGUUCACACAGGAAGCGCCGCGCGCAGCGCCGGCUCGCGCUUGGCUCUUCACACAGGAAGCGCUUUCUGCUGCGCUCUGACACGCCGGUCAGACAUCGACUGAGCCCGGCAGUGCUCGGCCGUUUCCGUCUGCCCCCAGUUUUCCACACUUACGAGCGCUUUAAAAAUGGGUUUAUCAAUAUUUAUUUAUGUUUUUAUUUCGUCAUACAUAAAUUAAAUAUUGGCAGCAUCUUCAAGUAUUGUUUAAAAUUAUUAUAUAGGGGUGUGUGUGUUCAUCGGUAAAAAAAAAUAGACCGACAAGCAACACCGUAAAUCCUUUUCUAAUUUAUUGAAAUUUACUUUAUUUUGAAAAUUAACCGGAUUCUCUCGCAUCUCCUUCCUGACUUCCUGUCUGGUCCGAUCUGCUCUGUUGAGCUUUACAUCGGCGCGCGCGGCUCGCGCCAAAAAUAGAGAGAAGCGGAGCAGCCGCGCUCCAGAGCGCGAGCCGUUCCGCGCGCAAGCUGUGUGAACAGUCUCAUAGGUUAACAUGGGCGCCGAUCUGAAACUCUGUGCGCGGCGCUUCCGUUCCGCGCGCGGCGCUUCCAGUGUGAACCAGGCGUUAGCUAGCGCUUAGCUGGCUGUUGUUAGCAUUUAACUUGUAAAGUAAGCUGCUACUGUUGGUACUAUGACACUGUGUUUAACCAGUAAGGUUCACUGUGUUUAUUGCAGUUCAUUACUUUAAUUCAUUUGAAGACAUUUGACUGAUUCAUAUUUUAAAAAAAAUCAUUUUUUUAUCUAAAGUAAAAAGUAUCGUACAGAGUAAAAAUAGCUACUUUAAAGUUAGAAGUUCAUGAAUACAGGGCUCUCAAGUUUUGAACUAAGCUAAGAGUGAGAUUUCCUUUGGGGGGGGGGGUUGAAGAGUGAUUGAAGAUAAUUAUUACUACAAUAAUCUCUUAAAAACAACGGAGUAUGAGGAACACAUUAAGAAAAAAAAACGUUUUUAAAUCUUCGUGAAUAAAGUUAUUGAGAAGAAUAAAGUCAUUAAUUUAUAAGAAUUAAGUCGUAAAGUUACCUGUUGUGGAGGAGAGUUGUUAAAAUCAGCACUGAGGAGCAUUUAGAUGAAUUGUACUUCAGUAUAGGUUUCACAAACAUGGAGAUACUUAAUCUUUUGGUACAUGAGCGUUACACUGUCAUGAGUAUCAGAACUUUGAAAAAAAUAUAUGAGAAUUGCUGCUUCUGUCUCUGAUUGUGGGUGAAAACAAUAAAAAUCAUCAAACUGAGUCACUGAAAGAACCUCGCCGGUUUUUCUUGAUAGUUUAGUGUAAGGUCAGUUAGCCCAGACUGAAUGACCUGGAGGUUAGACAUCAUGCUGCCCAAAAAGCAUAAAUCAAGGAAUAAGUCAUAACGAGUCAUCAACUUUUUACUGUGAAACUGAGACCUACUGAAACGUAAACUUCUGGGGUUCAUGUCGCUGAAGUUAGCCAGAGGGAUUUCUCCAUUUAAACUAAGUCUCAGUUUUUUACUGUUUGUUUUUCGGACUCAUUUGUUCAUGGGGACUUCUCAGUUUGCUGACUGGACUUUAAAUGGUGCAGCUCAGAGAAAUGAAAGUCUUGACUGGUGAUUUUCUUAGUAUCAGAAGAAGAGAGAGAGGAAAGAAAAAGAAAGAGGGCAGAAUGAGGGGAGGCAGCUGUUGACUACUUUCUUUCCCAAAGGUGAACCCAGUUUGUUUGUUCUGUAAAGUCCAGUUCAAGUUAAUGUAGGACUCUCAACUUCACAUCGCCGCUCCUCUUCCCCUCCCUCGUCUCUCACACAGCUCACGCCACUCUGCACUCUCACUUUCUUGUUCUCUUCUCUUUCUCUCCCCUUCAGAUCUACACUUUGAGGACGGGUGUAACCAGGGUGUGCUGAGCUGAUAUCCUGCUGAUACACACGUCGUUGAGACCAGAGCUUUAAAUAGUUUCACUUUUUACAGGAAAUAAAACUCAGUCAGUCGUCGACAGCGAGUGUUGAAAUGGCGCAGGAAGGAGUUCAUCUGGACCGUGAGUCUUUCUCUUGUUCCAUCUGUUUGGAUCUUCUGAAGGAUCCGGUGACUGUUUCCUGUGGACACAGCUUCUGCAUGAGCUGUAUUCACUCCUACUGGGAUACUGAGGAUGAGAGGAUGGUCUACAGCUGUCCUCAGUGCAGAGAGACCUUUUUCAUCAGGCCUGUCCUGAUGAAAAACACCAUGUUAGCAGGUUUAGUGGAGGAAGUGAAGAGGAGUGGACUCCAAGCUGCUCCUGAUGGUUCCUCUGAGGCUGGACCUGAAGAUGUGGCCUGUGAUUCCUGCAGUGGGAGAAAACGGAAAGCUGUCAAGUCCUGUCUGCGAUGUCUGGUUUCUUACUGUCAGAUUCACCUCCAGCCUCAUUUUGAAUCACCUCCAUUUAAGAAACACAAGCUGGUGGAGCCCUCCAAGAAGCUCCAGGAGAACAUCUGCUCUGAUCAUGAUGAGGUGAUGAAGAUCUUCUGCCGCACUGACCGGAAGUCUAUCUGUUCUAUCUGCCGUUUGGACCAACACAAAGACCACGACACAGUCUUAGCUGCAGCAGAAAGGACUGAGAGGCAGAAAGAUCUGGAGGAGAGUCGAGAAAACAUCCAGCAGAGAAUCAAGGACAGAGAAGAAGAUGUGAAGCUUCUCCAACAGGAGGUGGAGACUAUCAACGGCUCUGCUGAUAAAGCUGUGGAGCACAGCCAGAAGAUCUUCACCCAGCUUAUCCGUCUCAUAGUGAAACGCCACUCUGACAUGGCGAAGCAGGUCAGAUCCCAGCAGGAACGUGAAGUGAGUCGAGUCAAAGAACUUCAGGAGAAGAUGGAACAGGAGAUCACUGAGCUGAAGAGGAAAGAUGCUGAUCUGCAGACACUCUCACUCACAGAGGACCACAACCAGUUUCUGCACAGCUACCCCUCACUGUCAGAACCGGGUCAACCUGCAGACUCAUCCAGGAUCAACAUCCGUCCUCAGAGAUACUUUGAGGAGGUGACAGCAGCUGUGUCAGAGGUUAGUGAUAAACUCCAGGAUCUUCUGACAAAGAUGUGGACAAACGUCUCACAGGCAGUGACUGAAGUGGAUGUUUUACUGUUAGAACCAGAACCCAAGACCAGAGCUGAUUUCCUAAGAUAUUCACGAAGAAUCACACUGGAUCCAAACACAGCAAACAGAUAUCUGAUAUUAUCUAAAGGAAACAGAAAAGCAACAUUAACAAGACAACGACAGUCUUAUCCUGAUCAUCCAGACAGAUUCACUUAUUAUGAUCAGGUCCUGAGUAGAGAGAGUCUGACUGGACGUUGUUACUGGGAGGUGGACUGGAGAGGGAACAGGGUAAGUGUAGCAGUCGCAUACAAGACGAUCAGCAGAGACGGGGACUCAGAUGAUUGUUUAUUUGGAGGAAAUGACAAAUCUUGGACGUUAGACUGCUCUAAAGACAUUUAUCAAUUUGUUCACAACGAAGUCCUCACUGAUGUCUCAGGUCCUCUGUCCUCCAGAGUAGGAGUGUACCUGGAUCACAGAGCAGGUAUUCUGUCCUUCUACAGCGUCUCUGAAACCAUGACUCUCCUCCACAGAGUCCAGACCACAUUCACUGAGCCGCUAUAUGCUGGACUGUUUUUCCUGUCUUUUAAGCACCGGUCUGUUGGAGCCUCUGCUAAGUUUAUUGAACCCAAAUAAAGAGAAUUUUGAGUCCAUCAGACCAAAAACAUGUAAUGAGAUCAUUGAACACUUGAAAUGUUCUGGUUUGUAAAUGUUUGUGGAUCAGUCUCACCAGAAACUUUCGGUUUAGUUCUUCAUUUCAGCUUUUUCAUUCUUUUGUAGCAAUCAAGACAACCCUGGGUGUGAAACUCACACAUUCCUCACAGGAAAGUUUCCUUAUCUGGUCCCUCGGUCGUAAAACCCUGCUCAACCAUGUUCUGAUAAAAAACUGCAUUCCUUUGAUGAAAGAAUACAAAUGACUGAUCAUGACAUCUUAUGUAUUCAGCAAUGUACUAAUCUGUCCAAUCAUGAAAUUUGUGUUAAAAUGAGAUGUUUCUCAUUGUUCUAUGUGCUCCAGAAGCUGAGUUAUCACUCUGACAGAAUAAUUCCUUUGUUCUUUAGUUUCUUUAGACCAACAGCUUUUCAGACUGUUUCCUCAACUUUUAAGAGUUACAUUUAUUGACUAUGGAUCAUAAGUUUCCUCUAAGUAACAGAAAUAGUUUAGAAAUGUUUGGUUUAUAUUUUAGUUGUUUAUUUAGUAUUUUUAACCAUUAGGUGGUUAUAAUGUCAUUGAAUAAUCUGAAUGUGAGUAUUUAGAAUCCAUUAGUAAUCACGAUGAAGUUCAUUCACAUGUAUUUACUCUUUUGUUGUUCACAGUUUCCAUGUGUUACUCUCUGUUUCAUUUCAGAGUAAUUUAGCAUGUUUAAUGUGAUACUUGAAACAUAAUGAGAAUGUUUGAUGUGAUCCUACAUUUCUUUAUAUGUGUUUAGUAUCAAAUUAUUUAUCAUGAAACCAAGCAUUCAAUGAUAUUAAUCAUAGUGAGUGAGUAUCAGAUCUGACUCUUUUACCAGCCAAAAGUAUAUGUUAGAUCAAAUAAUCAGAGAUCUGAGGUCUCCUCUGCUUGGAGACCCCACGACCCCUCCUCUUUCUCUUCACACACACACGCCAGAGACACUCCCAGUGUGAGAAGAUAAAACCAGAAAGGGGGGGGGUGCUCACGUUGCUUGUUCCCUUUGUACUCUUGUUGCCUCUCUUCUAUUUUUGCUUUUCUACUCUUAAGUUUUCGUUUAGCUUUUACUACUUAGUCUUACUUUUUCUUAGUCUUCUAAGUUUUGCGUUGAUUCACGUUGAUUUUCUUUAACAUCGUCUUCGUUCAAGUUUUGAAACUUCAACUUUUUGUGCGCAUAGCAAUUCAAGAUUAAGCCUUUGAUUGAUUUUUCUUUAAUUUCGCGAAGCCAUUUUUGAAAGUUUUCUCUGGUCAUCGAGCCUCGUUUUUCUGAGUUAUCUGCGAGAUUUCAAAGUCACCUCUGAACACAACCCAGCAGGCCCGGGUCAUCCUCUGCGCCAGAGUUUUUGAGUGAGACCAAAGAAGCAUCCAAACGAGCAUCCACAGGAUCCACAGGCGCCGGCUUUACUUCAGGCCCGAGUGCUACGACUCCUGGCCCAUCCUUCGGCUGACUUCGGCCGGUAGCCCGGACCUUCGGAACCUGCUCCAUCUUCUCCAAGGACCAGUCUUACUUAAGUAUGCAGACCUCCAGAGCUCCAAAGAGGGCUGAUGCUGUCUCAUGCGGUCAUAACUCAGAUAUCCACUUAUUCUGGUAAUCUUGGAUUCCUCCAAAUCCACAUCCAAAUUUACCUUGACACCAAAGAUAGUGUAGGUUAAUAUGUUCGAGCAUAUUCACUCACUAUCAUUAACUUUAGUGCUCCUAGCCUGACUUAGAAUCUUUAUUUGUUCACCUAUUAUUUUUUAUCCUCAUUAUCUUAUCAUUUAUUGCAUGUGUGUUGUACCAUCAUUUAUCCUGUAUUAAACAUCAUUAUUUCUAAGUUCUGGUCUUUUAGUGUUCUUCCAGAAGUGGAGUCCCUGAAAUGAGAAUCUCAGCUCAAGGUAUGAGAUUGAUUAAUUUAAGAUUUGACUUGAUGUUUGAUUUCUGAAUUAAACUUUAGUUUUCUUUAUUUUUCCACCAUUAAGGGUGGGUGGUGCCUCUUUCAACGAGUGCAUAAAUGUCAUAACUUGAGAUUAUUAAUCCUCAGACAUUUAUUAUAAAUUCAAAUCGCUACACUUUUCUAAAGAUGCUGAUUUGGUCGCAGCUUUAAGGACAGUGAUUGUGGAUAACUGAUUGUAUUUCUCAUUUUGAAAAAUCUUCAUGAAUUUUGAUAUCAACAACAUCAAGAUGAUCGUUUGUUCAAAUCACCUUCAGUUGGUGCAGAUGUUGAAGGUCUGAGACUUUAGAAAAAACUGACGUCAAAAUAUUGAAAGAAAGAUAAAAAAGGACGACCUUAUUUCCUGUCCCAAAUCCAAGCGUCUAAAGUCUUUCCAGUCGUCCCCAAAAACUCUUCAGAUGAUCUGUUUCUUUCUCUGUUUGCUGAAUAUUUGUGUUCAUGUGAUCGAUGGAUAUUUCUGUCUGCUUCUGUUGGAUCAGUGUGUUUGUAAAGACAUCUAGAAUGAGACUUUUAGCAGAUCAACAUGUUAUGAGCUUUCUAAUCACUUUUAUAAUAAUCACAUAUAUUAGUCCGACUGUUUUUCUGUUUCUGACUCAGCUCAGAUUGUGGGUGAAAACAAUAAAAAUCAUCAAGUUGAGUCACUGAAAGCACCUAACCUGUUUUUCUUUAUUUGGUCUGUUUCUGCUGGAUGUCAUGUUACAGGUCUUUCUGGGUCAUGGAUUCAUGUGGUCUGCAGGAUUUCCAUGAUGUGGUCACUCACAGGUGUUACAGGUCCUAGAUGUGGGUCCUGCAGCUGGAUCAGGUUUUCUGUAAGUAAGAGUAAUAAUCUUGAAAGAGAUUUAAGGUGUAUAUAUCAAGACAAGCAUUAUUAAAUCAUUAUUUGUUGCUCUGAGUAGUUUAAGAGUUUUGUAGCUCUGCAUUUUAUUUUGAAAGGUCCGCGGACUUCCGGUGUUACUUGUCACGACAGUUGUGUCCGAGUUUGGCAGAAGCGAACAGUCCAUUGGUAAGAAAUAACCUGCUAACAAUGUGUAGCCUCUGAAUAUAUAACGCUUUGGUGCCUAUUUCAUUGUCCUUGGAGAGAAAUAAGAGAAUGUUGAAUUAGAGAGUGUAAUUAAGUGUCCGUGGUUAGCAUUUGAUUAGCGCCGCUAGCUUCCGUUAGCAUUUUCUCUAGCUCCCUAUUAGCAUGCAAGGCUAACUCCAUUAGCAUUACAAGCUAGCGCUUAGCUGGCUGUUAUUAGCAUUUAGCUUGUAAUGUAAGCUGCUACUGUUGGUACUGUGAUACUGUGUUUAACCAGUUAGGUUCACUGUGUUUAUUGCAGUUAUACAUAAAAUGAGACCAUGAGGACCAGAAUAAAAACAUAAAAUAGGUAAGAAUAAGAAAUGUAUUAAAAAGGGGGGUUAAAAGCAGGAUACAGGGUAGUAAAUAUAAAAAGACAAUCUUAAUAAUGAUAAUAAAAUAACAAAAUAAUAUGAUCAUAAUAGUAAUGAUAAAAUAGAAUAAUAAAAAUGAGCAAGAAAAAAAACUAUCAAUAUAAGGCCUGAUAGGUUAAAUAAGAAAAGAUUAUAAGUAUAACAAAGGCUGAAAAGACAGUUAGCAAAAAUAAGAUUGCGGUAAAAGAGAAAAGACCUGUGUCACCUGUGUGGUCAAAAAAUAAAAGAAGUCCAAGAACAAAACAUUAGUUGUACCUUGAGUGUGCUUCCUGUCAAGCCUUUUCGGAGGGCUGAGUAUUUAAAAUCCGAUCAGUAUAUCGAUGUGUGUGAGUGCUGAUUGAGUUGAAGUUAAACUGCACUUUAAGUUUCAUAUCUUCUUUAACAGAUCACAACAUGACAGCAUCUUAAAACAGACUGAAUACAAACACAUAUACUGAACGCUCCUCUCUUAAGGAUUAAACAGGACAAAGCACCACCUGGCAGACAUUCUUCUGAGGGAAAGUGAACAACAUGAGAAACUGCAAAAAUAAUUUUAGAGAAUUCAGAAACAUAACAUGACACCCAAGAACAUGCAACAAAAUACAAACCUGCCUCAUUAGACACACAUACACAGAAAUAUGACACUAGUUGGAAGUGUUUCAGUGAUCCAUGAGGUGAAUAAAUGUUGGUUCAGUUGAUCUUCAGGACCGCUGCAGCUUUAAUAACCUCUGCAUGUUGGAGUUUGAGAGUCUUCCUCUUGUUCCGUUUCUUCUUCUUCUUCUUUAUUUAUCUCAAACUUUAAGAACUACAACAACAAAAAACAACUAGAAACAAAAACACCAAACAAAAUAAUAAAUAUGUACACCAAACAACUGUACAUGUCAAAGAUAAAUUAACACAACAUAUGUAUUAAGGCUGCACGAUAUUGGAAAAAAAUAAUAUUGCGAUUUUUUCAACCCUGCGAUAUAUAUUGCGAUAUUAAAAAUACAGUAUUUUCACCAGAUGACCUGAAUAGCACUUAAUGUCAUGCUGCACUGCUGAAAUCUUGAGGACAGUUAAUCUGCUCUGAUCUUACCUCUUUUUGUGAAUGUUAGUAGAACGGCUUCUGUCUGUCUCAGAGAUAUUUUUAGCUUUUAUUGUGCUGGGACGUUAUUGUGGAAACAGAUGAACACAGAAGACGUGUUUUGGUCGACAUCAUCCUUUUUUAACCGAAAUAAUUUAAGAUAACUGACUUUCCUUUUCUUUUUGGCAACAAAUCUUCAUUUUCGGUGGUUUUCGCUUGUUCGUUGUUCAUUUUGCGAUCGUUGUUGUUGUUGUUAGCGGUGCUGUACCGAGAAACGCAUGUACUCCGAGAAUUGCAUGCACCUCGCAAAACGCGCACUGCUUAUAGUAGAGUGAUUCACGGAAAUGUACAAUUUAAAACCCAUACAGUUCUUAUUUGUUGGGCUUAAUAGUCAUGAGUAAAGUUCCGAAAGUAAUUCUCAGCGGACACGCGUCUCCCUCCAUGUGCAGAACAUGUGCAGGGGUGGGUUUUCUCCUCCCUGAUUUUGAUUGACAGCUGGCAGGGUAGUCUGAUUGGCAGCUGAGAAGUGAGUCUGACUGGCAACUGAGUUAAGGACGAAGGCGAUUGGUGGAUCGCUGCACAGCACAUGCAGAGUCACAUGGAGUGUAUCUCAGUCGGUUACUCUUGAAAUUAAAUGAGUUCAUUCACCUCCAAUAUCGCAGGCUCUGCGAUGUGACUAUCGCACACACGUACAUCGCGAUGACGAUAGUCAAACGAUAUAUCGUUCAGGCCUAAUAUGUAUGUCAAAAUGUACAGUUUGGGAAGGAACAGAAUGAAGCAAAGACUUAAUCUAGUCCUGCCUCUUCCUAGCAAAUUAGAAAUUAAAAAAAAAGAAAAAAUCUAUUUUAAUAAAUUACAAAGAUCUGUAUAAAUACCUACAUUUUAUACACCAAGUGUAUAAAGUUAAAUCAAUAGUCUAAUAAACAACAAACAACUUACCUUGGUGCAGAUAAAGGUAUUCUUCGUAACGUUCCUCAGGUAACGCUGGUUAUGUGGCCGGCCACAUAACUUAUACACAGCAUGCACUUUUCCAAGGCACGCUUCGGCUUCAGAAGAGGAAUAAAAAAUGCCCCAUUCAAACGCUCUGGGUACCUAGUGUCGCUGUUGCAGGUCCCCCAGCAGCAACGUUUCACCAUGGUGGUAAUAUAAUAUGAAUCUUCUUGAUAUUAUAUUGUUAAUCAACUUCUGAAAAAGCCCUAAAUAACAUGUGAUUUAACGAGUGAUGUGGCCAUGAUGUCCGACUCUUGUUUGCUACGCUGUGAUUGGACCAUCGCAGUCUGGGGGCGGAACGUACCGAAGAGUCUAUCGGACAGAUACAUUUAUGUUCACUCCUUAGAUUAUAGCCCCCCUCCCUGGUUUUGAACAUCUUUUGUAGAUUAGCAGGUAACUUACUUUGUGUUACUUUGUACAGCACUUGAUCCGUUUUAUAAUUGACUAUGUCAUUAAAUUUUAACAUUUCUGAUUUUAGGAACAGAGGGCUGGUGUGAUCUCUGUAUCCAGCAUGAUUUAUGGUCCGGAUGACCUUUUUUUGUGUUUAUCUUUUGUAGAUUGGUCUUGUAUGUGUUUCCCCAGAUUUCAACACUGGGGAAAGGCAGGAUCAUGGAGCAGUAGAGUGUGCGUUGUGAUUUUUGUGGUAAUAAAUUAAUUUGCUGAUAGUUCCGAUACUGGUGAUUUUUUUUGGUAUCAGAAGAAGAAAGAGAGGAAAGAAAAAGAAAGAGGGGAGGCAGCUGUUGACUGCUUUCUUUCCCAAAGGUGAAUCCAGUUUGUUUGUUCUGUAAAGUCCAGUUAAAGUCAAGUAGGACUCUAAACUUCACAUCGCCGCUGCUCUCCCUGAAUUAUACAAGAGCUGAAUUUCCCCUCCCUCGUCUCUCACACAGCUCACUCCACUCUGCACACUCACUUCCUUGCUCUCUUCACUUCCUCUUUCCCUCCCCUUCAGAUCUACAGUUGUAACUAACGUGUGCUGAGCUGAUAUCCUGCUGAAACACAUGUUGUUGAGAUCAGAGCUCAGACUAGUUUCACUUCUCAGGAAAUAAAACUCAGUCAGUUGUUGUCAACAGCGAGUGUUGAAAUGGCGCAGAAGGGAGUUCUUCUGGACCGUGAGUCUUUCUCUUGUUCCAUCUGUUUGGAUCUUCUGAAGGAUCCGGUGACUGUUAACUGUGGACACAGCUUCUGCAUGAGCUGUAUUCAAUCCUACUGGGAUACUGAGGAUGAGAAGAAGAUCUACAGCUGUCCUCAGUGCAGACGGACCUUCAGACCGAGGCCUGUCCUGAUGAAAAACACCAUGUUAGCAGGUUUAGUGGAGGAAGUGAAGAAGAGUGGACUCCAAGCUGCUCCUGAUGAUCCCUCUGAGGCUGGACCUGAAGAUGUGGCCUGUGAUUCCUGCAGUGGGAGAAAACUGAAGGCUGUCAAGUCCUGUCUUCAAUGUCUGGUUUCUUACUGCCAGAUUCACCUCCAGCCUCAUUUUGAAUCACCUUCAUAUAAGAAACACAAGCUGGUGGAGCCCUCCAAGAACCUCCAGGAGAACAUCUGCUCUCGUCAUGAUGAGGUGAUGAAGAUCUUCUGCCGCACUGAUAAGAAGUCUAUCUGUCAUCUCUGCUGUUUGGACCAACACAAAGGUCACAACACAGUCUCAGCUGCGGCAGAAAGGACUGAGAGGCAGAAAGAUCUGGAGGAGAGUCGAGAAAACAUCCAGCAGAGAAUCCAGGACAGAGAAGAAGAUGUGAAGCUGCUCCAACAGGAGGUGGAGGCUAUCAACGGCUCUGCUGAUAAAGCUGUGGAGCACAGCCAGGAGAUCUUCAGCCAGCUGAUCCGUCUGAUGGAGAAACGCCGCUCUGACGUGGAGCAGCAGGUCAGAUCCCAGCAGGAACGUGAAGUGAGUCGAGUCAAAGAACUUCAGGAGAAACUGGAGCAGGAGAUCACUGAGCUGAAGAGGAAAGAUGCUGAUCUGCAGAAGCUCUCACUCACAGAGGACCACAACCAGUUUCUGCACAGCUACCCCUCACUGUCAGAACCGGGUCAACCUGCAGACUCACCCAGGAUCAACAUCCGUCCUCAGAGAUACUUUGAGGAGGUGACAGCAGCUGUGUCAGAGGUCAGAGAUAUACUCCAGGAUCUUCUGACAGAGACGUGGACAAACGUCUCACAGGCAGUGACUGAAGUGGAUGUUUUACUGUUAGAACCAGAACCAGAACCCAAGACCAGAGCUGGUUUCUUAAGAUAUUCACAAAGAAUCACACUGGAUCCAAACACAGCAGACAGACGACUGUUAUUAUCUGAUGGAAACAGAAGAGCAACAUUUACGAAACAGCUACAGUCUUAUCCUGAUCAUCCAGACAGAUUCACUUACUGUUCUCAGGUCCUGAGUAGAGAGAGUCUGACUGGACGUUGUUACUGGGAGGUGGACUGGAGAGGGAAUGGGGUUUAUGUAGCAGUCGCAUACGAGACGAUCAGCAGAGACGGGGACUCAGAUGAUUGUUUAUUUGGAGGAAAUGACAAAUCGUGGACAUUAUACUGUUCAAAAGAAAGUCAUGUAUUUGUUCACAACAAAGUCCUCACUGAUGUCUCAGGUCCUCAGUCCUCCAGAGUAGGAGUGUACCUGGAUCACAGAGCAGGUAUUCUGUCCUUCUACAGCGUCUCUGAAACCAUGACUCUCCUCCACAGAGUCCAGACCACAUUCACUGAACCUCUACAUGCUGGACUGUGGUUAGGCUGCAGUGAUGGAGACUCUGCUGAGUUUGUAGAAGUGAAAUAAAGAGAAUUUUGAGUCCAUCAGACCAAAAUCAUGGACUGAGAUCCUUGAACUCUUGAAAUGUUCUGGUUUGUAAAUGUUUGUGGAUCAGUCUCACCAAAAACUCUGGGUUUAGUUCUUCAUUUCAGCUUUUUGAUUCUUUUCUAAAGAUGCUGAUUUGGUCGCAGCUUUAAGGACAGUGAUUGUGGAGAACUUUGAUUGUUUGUAUUUCUCAAGUUGAAACAUCUUCAUUAAGUUUGAUAUCAACAACAUCAAGAUGAAUAUUUGUUCAUCAUCACAUGUGUUUGUAAAGACAUCUAGAGUCAGACUUUGGACAGAUCUACAUGUUGUUAUGAGCUUUUCAAUCACUCUAAUAAUAAUAAUCACAUUUAUUAGUCCGACUGUUUUUAUGUUUCUGACUCAGCUCAGAUUGUGGUCAAGUCUCUGAUUGUGGGUGAAAACAAUAAAAAUCAUCAAACUGAGUCACUGAAAUCACCUCGUCUGUUUUUCUUGAUGGUUUAGUGUAACGUCAGUGAGCCCAGACUGAAUGACCUGAGGGUUAGACAUUAUACUGCUUUCUUGUCUGUUGACUGCUUUCUUUCCCAAAGGUGAACCCAGUUUGUUUAUUCUGUCCAGUUAAGUCCAGUUAAAGUUAGCG
rnacentral:lncRNA from 1 species